rnacentral:tRNA from 1 species
GCGGAGUGGUAGUUCAGUUGGUUAGAAUACCGGCCUGUCACGCCGGGGGUCGCGGGUUCGAGUCCCGUUGCA